UUAGACGCCGCUGCGGUUUUUUUUUCCGUUGGAUACAAAAUCACUUCAAAACUACUUCGAUGUGGUAUACUUAAACGAACUUAUACUCAUUGUUAACUGCGAACUAGAAUGGGCAUGAAAGAUGCGCGAUGAGCGUUCGCUAUUCACAACAGUUGAGCAACAGCUCAGAAAAUAAAUAAAAACAGUUUUAUUUAACAAA